rnacentral:lncRNA from 1 species
CAAUUCCAGCACUCUUUGCCUGAGGUUGUGAGGGGCAGCAUGAUGGACUGGAGGUCCCAGCUGAGCCGGGCAGCAACCAUGGCUAGUGAGAGGUGCCAGCCCUUGGGAGGUGCAGAUGGUGGUUAUCUGCGAGCACAACAUCCAGGCCUUCUCUGUGCUGAGAAGGAUAAGGCAUGACACACAUGUGCAGGUAUCGAUGGAGCCGGGCUGAAGUAGCCGGAUUUUCGCGAUGGCAUCUCCUGCAGUCAGGCCGAGCUCCUUUACCAGGGAGCAAGCCAGCAUGGUGCUGGUGUGGCCAAAGCCCAGCGCACAGUGCACUCCCACUGCCUGCGGAGAAGUUGCUGAGGGAUGGAGGCCGGGCCCUCCCCAGCACUUCCUUGUCCCUCCCUUGGACCAUUCUUCUCUCCUUAGCUGCUGCUUCUGGGUCAGGCUCAGGACUCAGCACAAGUGACAGCCAAGUCAGGGAGGGCUAUCACUGCCUGUGUGGCCUGAAGGCCACCAAUCACCA